rnacentral:rRNA from 1 species
GUGGGGAAUCUUCCGCAAUGGACGAAAGUCUGAUGGAGCAACGCCGCGUGAGUGAAGAAGGGUUUCGGCUCGUAAAGCUCUGUUGUCGGGGACGAAUGUGCAGUAUUUGAAUAAAGUAUUGCAAUGACGGUACCUGACGAGGAAGCCACGGCUAACUACGUGCCAGCAGCCGCGGUAAUACGUAGGUGGCAAGCGUUGUCCGGAAUUAUUGGGCGUAAAGGGAGCGCAGGCGGGAAGGUAAGUCGGUCUUAAAAGUGCGGGGCUCAACCCCGUGAUGGGAUCGAAACUAUCUUUCUUGAGUGCAGGAGAGGAAAGUGGAAUUCCUAGUGUAGCGGUGAAAUGCGUAGAUAUUAGGAGGAACACCAGUGGCGAAGGCGACUUUCUGGACUGUAACUGACGCUGAGGCUCGAAAGCCAGGGGAGCGAACGGGAUUAGAUACCCCUGUAGUCC